UGCCCGGUUAGCUCAGUUGGUUAGAGUACUUCCUUGACAUGGAAGGGGUCGGAAGUUCGAGUCUUCUACCGGGCAU
rnacentral:tRNA from 1 species